AUAUUACAGUAGGCUAUAGCAGAGACCCCUGAAUCGACAGAAUUUCAGAGGCUAUUGCGAUUCGGUAAAGGAAGGGUGGGAGACAUCUGGGCGCUCGGGGGUCACAUUAGCGCAGAAUUUGGAACGGCGUGUGCACUUUCAUGGUCGUUUACAUUUAAUUUCCUUAAAUUUAAAUUUCUCUCUUCCAUUUGGAUUCCUUUUUCUAUUGAUAACGGCUAUAGCCUCACGCGCGUGCGUCCAGUUUCAAUAAUCUUAUUGCGCAAACCCGAUGACACAUUAGGGUUUAUUCCAUCUAUAUACGCUGAUCAGCCAGGAGUUAUGAAUUUCUAUUUUGCAGUAUUUGCCUUCAUGGCACCGUGCAUUUUUGUUAUAGUAACAGUAGGGGUAUCAUGUAUAAUUCAUCGAAGGAGGCAGAGUCGGCUUUGAAAACGCUCACUUCUAUGAUGGACGCUCUGGUUCGUAUUAGUGAUCACCAUCAGUCACAGACACCAGAGCACAACCCACACCUCUGGAAGCCUCCCUGGGAGCUCUCAUCAUGACAAACCACAAGCACGCUGGCAGUGAAGAUGCCAAGACCCUCAUUAAGAAAGAGCUAACCAACCUCAUCAAGGCUAAGCCGCCAAACAUUGCUGGGAAGGGUGGUCCUGAAGUGGGGCACCUGAUGACAAUGCUGGACCAGGACGCUGACGGCUCCAUGAACUUCAAGAAGUACAUCACCUUGAUUGGAUCCCUUACAUGUGCAACUGUGCCCUAGCGGGAAAAUGCCAACUUCCAUCUGCUUUGUGCAGUGUAUUACAUUACACUUGUGCAGCCCAGUACAUAAUUGGAAAUGUAUAAUUUGAUUCAACGCAAUUCCCCCCUUCUGCAAAUCAAAUAUGUAUCUGUUCAGAUUUUUGGUCUCUGGAUAAGCUACCAACAUUCUCAUCUCCGGAGCAUUUAAAAAACUCCAAUAUUUCCCUUUGGAUCAUGGCACUUGCUUUCAUGACUGUUACUUAAGUCAGCAAGUUGUGCGAUAAGCCUACUCACUGCUGCGUGUGUUGGUGGCUUGAUGGCGCAUGUUUUGAUAGGCCUACCAUGAACCCAUGUUAUCCAGAUCUAUUAAAACAGCUUACAACAGAAAUAGAAUUAGCCCUACUAUUGAAAUGCAUGAUUGCAAUGCAAUUCCCCCCUCCUGCAAAUCAAAAUGGGUCUGGAUUUACCGGUAAUAUUCUCAACUUCAGAGCAUAAAAAAAACUCCCAUAGGCAUAUUUCCUGUGGGAUCAGGCGCAUGCUAUGUUUUAAUAGGCCUACCAAGAACCCAUGUUAUCUAUAUCUAUUAUUAAACAGUAGGCCUGUAGGCUAGUGCUGGUCCUGCAUGUCCGAUGCGCAAGAUGCACAUCCAAAUUGGAAGUGAGAAUGUCAUUUUCACUUCUCCAGUGUGGGCUGACUAAUCUACCAGCUCACGUUUGUUGCCUAUGUUGUAGGCCUAGUGUUAGUUUGACUCAUAUGUGUACAGUACUUUGCUUUAUUUGACAGCAUUAUUUUAAAGGAUUUGAGGGUUAGUUUAAGAGUUAGGGAAAACAGGGCAAUGAGUCAUUAGAUCAGCCAUUGAAGAUUUUAUGCACAGGGAAUAGGCUGCUAUAAACCCAUAGCACUGUUGAUAGUAUACCUUGGAUACUGUGGAUUGCUGCAUGUUGCAUACAUACAUGAGGUGUAUAAACCCUGGAUGACUGACAGGGGGCGCUGUAUUGAAGUCACCUCACAGCCAUCUUGGCAUCUCUGCAAUGUAAAACAUAUUUUUGAAGAUAUAGAAAUGCAUUUAUUAAUGUCUACAUUUGUUUCCUGACACAUUUAUUAUAUUACAGACACCAUAAUGCACACUUUUAAAUUAUAUUAUGUGAGCUAAACAUAUACAUAUAUAUAUAUAUAUAUUACAAAAUCCUUAAAGUAUAUAUUUUUGGAGAGUACUAAUGGUACUGUCCCCAACAACAACAACAAAAAUAUUUAAAUAGCCGUGGGAAGUAGGGGUGCUGCAGAUAGAUUACAAUAAAAAAGAGUGCUAAUAAAAAAUACAUAUGUUUUUUAAAGAAAAUUAAAAAUGUGUUUAUCACUAGGCCUUUAUUACUCCUGUAUGAGAGGAGCAGAGAAAAAAAACUCCUUAUCAGCAGAGCCCGCUGAAAUGCCUCCGUUCUUUCACCAUUCAUUGUUCCCAUAGGGGGAUUUUACAACCACUUCAAACAAGGUCCGUGUUUCAUGUAGGCUUUCCCUGGCGUGACAUUUCAUGUAGGCUUUCCCUGCCGUGACAUUUUGAUAACCGUGUAAAUCUCUCUCGGACAAGGUGACUUUUAUCAAUAUAUUCAGCUCUAUUUACCCCCAGAUUCUAAAAUACUAAUUAGCCUCAAAGGCAACAUAUGAAAACCUACAAAUCCCUGUAAGCUCCUGCGAGUCAUCUCUAGCUGACACCUUUGCUGUCAGAUAGCUAACUACUAGCUACUGUGUUAGAGCUGGGCUGAGACAAAACCCUUCCAACACUCCUGUUCUUCAGGACUUCCUGCAAUGACUGAAACAGACCAAAGCAGGAGAAUAGUAUUCCGGGUUGAAACAGUUUACCUAGUUGAGAGGUGAUAAGACUCAGGCAUACCCAUUGGUUCUGGAAUAGAGAAGGUUUGCAAUUUGGCAUCAAUUACAUGACAGUUAUUCUACCUAAAAAACAAACGUGUGAAUACCAAUUACCUUUCACAUUGGUAGUUACAGUCUUGUCCCAUCUCUGCAACUCACAUACGGACUCGGGAGAGGCGAAUGUUGAGAGCCAUGCCAAGCCACACUGCUUCUUGGCACAAUGCAUACUUAACCAGGAAACCAGCUGCACCAAUGUUUCAUAGGAAACACCGUAGACCUGGCAACUGUGUUAGCGUGCACGACCACUGGAGUCGCUAGAGCACGAUGGGACAAGGACAUUCCGGACGGCAAAACCCUCCACUAACCCAGACGACACUGGCCCAAUUGUGCGUCGCCCCAUGGGUCUCCCGGUCGCGGCCUGGUACCGUACCAGGAUCUGUAAUAUGGCAGCUAGCACUGCGAUGCCAUAGACCGCUGUGUGACUCUGGAGGCCCCAAUUCCAAUAAAUUUUAACCACAUUAUAACAAGUAGGACUAAAUAAGGUUACAUAACCUUGUCUAGUAGCUUUACUAAUAAUUUGCUGUCCAGAGUGUAACAGCAAACAGAUCAAUGUCUUCCCGAAGUAAAGUAAGUAGAAAGUUGACUCAAGAGAAGCUAAUCAGUCAAAAACUCUCCAAAAGCCAGACCAAAAUAAUACAGCUAGCUAGCUAAACUAACUACAAGUCAAGUAGUAGGUUACUGGAAAUAGGCUUCCCACCCCUCACCCACAGACACAAACAAACAUGAUCAAGAAUGCCUAGCUUCAUCAUCAAAGUUAGUUAGCUAGUUAACUAGCAAGCUAGACUGUUGGUUUAUAAAAGCCAAAGAAAGCUAACGUCAUUGUUGGUAAUUUCUCAUGCAUUUAAAUAUCAAGACAAACAGAUGGCUAAAUGUAGCCAGUCUACACAUGGGCUACCACGUGGCGCAGUGGUCUAAGGCAUUGCAUCUCAGCUAGAGGCGUCACUAUAGACAACCUGGUUUGAAUCCAGACUGUAUCACAACCGGCCGUGAUUGAGAGUCCCAUAGGGCGGCGCACAAUUGGCCCAGCGUCGUCUGAGUUUGGCCGGUGUAGGCCAUCAUUGUAAAUAAGUAUUUGUUCUUAACUGACUUGCCUAGUUAAAUAAAGGUUAAAUAAAAUGUAGAAAAUGGCUAACAAGCUAACCAUUAGCUAGCCUACAACUCAACGUCUUACAGGAACGAGCUCACUGGCCAAGCACACGCACGUUCGUGGAUGGUCCGAUCACUUCUGACACCAAUUUAAUGAAACAGACAGGGUGCAGGUCUCGUACCCUCAACCUUCUGGCCCGAAGUCCAGCGCGCCAUUGACUGUGCCCCAAAAGCAUGCUCGAGCGGCAGAGUCGAUAUCUACGCUUAUAAACCCAGGGUUGUUACAGUAUUGAUAAAAGUAGACUUGUCUGAGAGUUAUUUACACAGUUAUCAAAAACACAGUUAUCAAAGUGUUUCUAAAAUCCCCCAUGGGAAAAAGUAAUGGUGGAAAAACGAUUGGAACUGUUUCCAUGUUUGACCACUAGGUUUUUAUGGGUAUUAUGACUCAAAACUGUGAUACUUUAUGGCCAAUACAUAGCAUCAGCAAUCCAGGGUUUAUUUACAUAAAUGGUUGCAUAUUAAGGGUGUGUUCGUAAAUUCACUCUAGAGUGUCAGAGAGCACUUGGAGUGUGCUCUGGGCGUUCGUAAAUUCAGAGUGUUCAGAGUGUCAGAUUGUCCAUUUGGUCCGAGUGUUCUGACCUCGCCCAUUUUACUCGCCCUAGCAGAGCUGGUUAGGAUGUUUUCAUGUUAUCGAGAGCGUUGGUGAUGAUAACUGUGACACUGGCAACAACUGAAUUACGUUUUUUUGCCAACGUUUACUGAUAUCGGUCAUAUUGAACGGGUGUUGCACGUUCAUAAAUGCAUCAGUUAUUCUGCGCUCUGGCACACUCAGACAAGUGCUCAGAAAUCAGAGAAAAUAACCAGAGUGAAUUUACGAACUCACCCUAAUAUUACUAUUGUGAUGUAUAAUUGCUAUGGUAAUUUGGAAUAUCCAGUCAAUGAGCAUUAGGGGUAAUGUAGUCAUUAUACAGAAUCUGCAUUGCAAGUGCUUACAAGUGCUUACAUCAUUUACAUUGUAACAGCAUGGUAUCCCAGGGAAAAAAAUUGAAAAUAAACAAAAAUACAAAACACAGGAGGACAUGUUUCUUUUAAGCCUAAAAUUAAGAAAUUCAUCGCAAAAUCAACUGCAGUUUAGAGGCUUAAGGUAUAGAUGCCACAUUAAUAAAUGCCUGUUUAAUUUGAA